UACGAAGGGGGCUAGCGUUGCUCGGAAUCACUGGGCGUAAAGCGCACGUAGGCGGUUUCUUAAGUCAGGGGUGAAAUCCUGGAGCUCAACUCCAGAACUGCCUUUGAUACUGGGAGACUUGGAGUCCGGGAGAGGUGAGUGGAACUGCGAGUGUAGAGGUGAAAUUCGUAGAUAUUCGCAAGAACACCAGUGGCGAAGGCGGCUCACUGGCCCGGUACUGACGCUCAGGGGCGAAAGCGUGGGGAGCGAACCGG
rnacentral:rRNA from 1 species